ACGCUCGACACCUACGGGAGACAGCAGUGGGGAAUAUUGCACAAUGGGGAAACCCUGAUGCAGCGACGCCGCGUGGAGGAAGAAGGUCUUCGGAUUGUAAACUCCUGUUGUUGGGGAAAAAGAGGAUGGUACCCAACAAGGAAGUGACGGCUAACUACGUGCCAACAGCCGCGGUAAUCUGAGCGGGCUGGCAAGGC
rnacentral:rRNA from 1 species